rnacentral:rRNA from 1 species
UAACGACUUUGCCCGACGCGCUGAGAGGUGGCGCAUGGCCGUCGCCAGCUCGUGCCGUGAGGUGUCUGGUUAAGUCCAGGAAACGAGCGAGACCUUCGCCUUUAGUUGCCACCGCGUAAGCGGGCACACUAAAGGGACCGCCACCGUUAAGGUGGAGGAAGGAGGGGGCAACGGCAGGUCAGCAUGCCCCGAAUCACCUGGGCCGCACGCGGGCUGCAAUGGUGGAGACAAUGGGCUCCGAACCCGAAA